CCAGACUCCUACGGGAGGCAGCAGUGAGGAAUAUUGGUCAAUGGGCUUACGCCUGAACCAGCCAAGUCGCGUGAGGGAAGACUGCCCUAUGGGUUGUAAACCUCUUUUGUCAGGGAGCAACGCCGGCUACGUGUAGCCGGACUGAGAGUACCUGAAGAAAAAGCAUCGGCUAACUCCGUGCCAGCAGCCGCGGUAAUACGGAGGAUGCGAGCGUUAUCCGGAUUUAUUGGGUUUAAAGGGUGCGUAGGCGGAAUGCCAAGUCAGCGGUAAAAUCGCGGGGCUCAACCUCGCUCCGCCGUUGAAACUGGCGUUCUUGAGUGGGCGAGAAGUAUGCGGAAUGCGUGGUGUAGCGGUGAAAUGCAUAGAUAUCACGCAGAACUCCGAUUGCGAAGGCAGCAUACCGGCGCCCAACUGACGCUGAAGCACGAAAGCGUGGGUAUCGAACAGGAUUAGAUACCCCAGUA
rnacentral:rRNA from 1 species